rnacentral:rRNA from 1 species
UACAGAGGGUGCAAGCGUUAAUCGAAAUUACUGGGCGUAAAGCGUGCGUAGACGGUUGCGUAAGUCAGAUGUGAAAGCCCCGGGCUCAACCUGGGAAUUGCAUUUGAGACUGCGUAGCUAGGGUGCGGAAGAGGGAAGCGGAAUUUCCGGUGUAGCGGUGAAAUGCGUAGAUAUCGGAAGGAACACCAGUGGCGAAAGCGGCUUCCUGGUCCAGCACCGACGUUCAGGCACGAAAGCGUGGGGAGCAAACAGG